GAGAGAUCCUCCCAGGCUAUCAGCUGAACCAAGAAACCCUUUGACUGCCCCCAAAGUGAUGCCAACUUGAGACAGCUGGGAGAAGGAUGGGUACAAGAAGGCAGCCUUCAUCUGGCAGUGUAGAUCCACUCUUUUUUACGGAAUGUGGAAGCUGGGCUUAGGGUUGUUUGCAGCCCGUGUCAGUUGGCUCAGAACAGUGACUCACUCUGAUUCAAAGGACUCUGAAGACUUCGCCUUGAGCCCCCUCGAAACACUCCUUCCUCUCCCUAGCAAUUCUUCACAGCUCAGAGCCCUUUCGACUCUAGAAUCACCUGGGGGAAUGACCACUGGACAGACCUAUGUGGGAUUAUCUUGAUGCAGGAAGAUUCACACACUACACGUGGCACCAUUCAUGAAUGAGAUCUUUUCUUCAUGAAUGUGUUCAUGCAGGAAGGAAGCUGAGCUCUCUCUGCUCCCUGGAUGUGAUGUGACCACCUUUUCCAUGCCACCUUGACUUCCUCAGUGUGACAGACGGUGCCUUGAGCUCUGAGCAGAAACAAAUCUUCCAUCUUUAAGAUGCUCUUGCUGGAGAACUGUAUCUCAGCAGCAGGAGAAGAAGCUGCGACAUUAUACCUGUGCUGUACACACUGUACCAACUGAGUCAUCUCCCCAGCCCUGGAUCUCAAUCUUUGUUGAAUUGUGCUCCCCUUGACACUGAUGUAAGAGCAGCAGACACGUCCUUGGAAGACAGGUCAGGCAUCACACACAUUGAAAGACUUUCAAGGUCUCACUGGGAAGGGCAAGAGGUUUGCUUGUGCCAGAGAUGGAACACUGGCUUUCCCAGUUUGGGGAACUACUGGGAUACCUGUGCACCUAUUUUCAGAAUUCAGCCAAAAGAGCUAUGAAACAAUGAGUCUAAA